rnacentral:tRNA from 1 species
ACGGGUGUAGCUCAGUUGGUAGAGCACUGGUCUCCUAAACCAGGUGUCGGGCGUUCGAGUGGCUCCUCCCGUG